UACAGAGGUCUCAAGCGUUGUUCGGAUUCAUUGGGCGUAAAGGGUGCGUAGGUGGCGCCAUAAGUCGGGUGUGAAAUCUCGGGGCUUAACUCCGAAACUGCAUUCGAUACUGUGGUGCUCGAGGACUGGAGAGGAGACUGGAAUUCAUGGUGUAGCAGUGAAAUGCGUAGAGAUCAUGAGGAAGACCAGUGGCGAAGGCGGGGUCUCUGGACAGUUCCUGACACUGAGGCACGAAGGCCAGGGGAGCAAACGGG
rnacentral:rRNA from 1 species